rnacentral:rRNA from 1 species
AACGAACGCUGGCGGCAGGCUUAACACAUGCAAGUCGAACGGUUGUAGCAAUACAGCAGUGGCAGACGGGUGAGUAACACGUGGGAACCUUCCUAGGGGUACGUAACAACUCAGGGAAACUUGAGCUAAUACCGUAUACGUCCGUGAGGAGAAAGAUUUAUCGCCCCUAGACGGGCCCGCGUAGGAUUAGGUAGUUGGUGAGGUAACGGCUCACCAAGCCUACGAUCCUUAGCUGAUCUGAGAGGAUGAUCAGCCACACUGGGACUGAGACACGGCCCAGACUCCUACGGGAGGCAGCAGUGGGGAAUCUUGGACAAUGGGCGCAAGCCUGAUCCAGCCAUGCCGCGUGAGUGAAGAAGGCCUUCGGGUUGUAAAGCUCUUUUACCAGGGACGAUAAUGACGGUACCUGGAGAAUAAACCCCGGCAAACUUCGUGCCAGCCGCCGCGGUAA